rnacentral:tRNA from 1 species
CGGGGUGUGGCGCAGUCAGGUAGCGCGUACGGCUGGGGGCCGUAAGGGCACCGGUUCAAAUCCGGUCACCCCGACCA